UACAGGAUUGAAUGAAUCAGGUAGGCAGGUUAAAUCAAUAGUACUCCAAGUAGUUAUGGUGCAGGUUUGAAGCAAUUCAGGCAGGUAUGCAGUUACAGGAGAGUUCAUAAUCCAAUUUACGAAGGAGUAAUGUUUGUAGCAAUUCUAGUGGUAUGCCAUGCAGGUAGGUACCUUUAUGUAGGAUGCAAUGCAGGUAAGUACAAGAUAGUUGAUAAUAAUCCAGUUUAGGAAGGUGAGA